AGUGAACGCUGGCGGUAGGCCUAACACAUGCAAGUCGAACGGCAGCACAGUAAGAGCUUGCUCUUACGGGUGGCGAGUGGCGGACGGGUGAGGAAUACAUCGGAAUCUACUUUUUCGUGGGGGAUAACGUAGGGAAACUUACGCUAAUACCGCAUACGACCUACGGGUGAAAGCAGGGGAUCUCCGGACCUUGCGCGAUUGAAUGAGCCGAUGUCGGAUUAGCUAGUUGGCGGGGUAAAGGCCCACCAAGGCGACGAUCCGUAGCUGGUCUGAGAGGAUGAUCAGCCACACUGGAACUGAGACACGGUCCAGACUCCUACGGGAGGCAGCAGUGGGGAAUAUUGGACAAUGGGCGCAAGCCUGAUCCGGCCAUACCGCGUGGGUGAAGAAGGCCUUCGGGUUGUAAAGCCCUUUUGUUGGGAAAGAAAAGCAGCAGGUUAAUACCCCGCUGUUCUGACGGUACCCAAAGAAUAAGCACCGGCUAACUUCGUG
rnacentral:rRNA from 1 species